CACACACUCUCCUCAGCUAUUUUCUUCGUUUUUUUCUUUUUUUUUGUUUUCGUUGUCCUUUCGUGUCUUUCUUCUCGUUUGGGGGGGAAUCGUCUCAUCACCUGCGCAUCAGUGCUGUGUGUUUCCCGUUCACUCAGCCCCUCUCCCUUUCCUCACGCGUACUCGGUCCGUCACGCACCAGCAUACCCCACCCAUAGCCCAACGCCCUCCCUACCUACCCCUUUCCUCCCUUCCCCUUUGAGCACAACCCCCCCCUCUUCUUCACUGUCCCACAUACCGACCACUCUCUCCGGCCUCGGCUCACACGCGGCACCGACGGAUCAUCCUGAGAGACUGCUCUCCAUUAGGCGGAUCGCACAUAAAAGGAGGAACAAAGAGGAAGCACGUAAGCCCCCUCAACGUAAACGAUUGCACGCAGUCCAGAAAAUGUACAUGCAUCCGAUGGGCCAGCCCAUGGGCCACCCGCUCGUGCCGCCAACGAUCGUGAGCGGCGCCUACCAGGUCAAUGCGAUUCCCGUCGUGCAACAGCAGUUUGUGUACACGGCACAGCCGAUGGUGGCGCCACAGCCCAUGAUUCAGAGCGUUCCUGCUGCCACGCCAAUGUACUCGGUGGCGCCGCCACGUCGGCAGAAGAACAAAGGCAACGCCGUGCUGUUUGUAGGGCAGCUGAACUACGAUGUAACGGAGAAGGAUGUGCGCGAUCUCUUCUCGUACUACGGCCACGUCGUGAACGUUGUGCUUCUGAAGGACACCAAGCGCAACAACGGCAAAGGCGCGUCCACGCAGCCGAAGAACAACAAACACGUCGUCGGCAGCUCCGCCUUCGUGACGUACCCGACGACCGCCGAGGCGGACUUGGCCAUCAUGUCUCUGCACAACCGUUACUGCAUGGACAACCGCGACAAGCCCGUGCAAGUGUCCUACUGCCAGAAGACGGACAUCAUCUCCGACUUCGGCUACCGCCAUGCACUGCAGCUGCACUCCGAGAACCCUGCCAACCCAAUCCCUAGCAUCACACCUACACCCUCCGUCGCCUACGCCAUAAAGUUCGCGUAAAGCAUAGAGAUAGAACAAAGUGAAUCAAGCGAAAGUGGCCACGCGCCUUGUGUGGGGCGGUUUAAUGCACUCGACUGCGCGUGGGCAUGCAGACUUUUUUUUUCGUUGGCACGUACCUAGGGCGGGCGCAGUGCGGGAAGGCGAUUCGCACGAUAAAAGGUGAAAAGCACCAGAGAGGCUUGGGGUAAACGUCGUUUAGGAGGCAAGACAAUAGUGAGGCGUGCGCAUGUGUACGCUACGAAGGCAGCUAGGCGGCAGCGCAGGAGGUGAAACACGCAUACGCACACACACACAUAGACACGCAUAUGCACACCCUGCCCCUCUCUUAUCUUUCGCAAGCUGUGCAUGGGUGCAUGCGUGUGGCGCAUACCUAUUGUUUUAUCGCUGCCAGGUUCUCUUUUGCUUGUCUCUUUUCUGUUCCGCAUUUUGUGUGUCUGUGUGUGUGUGUGUGUGUGUGUCUUAGCGUUGUCGACCACAUCACUCUCUGUCGGAAUUUGGCUCCGUGUGCGCGUUCCAUCACAAUUUUGUGUUUGUCUGCGGCGGAGAUCUGCUGCCGAUGUUCUCUUCAAGUGUCUUCAUUGCCGCCUGGUCCUCUGCUUGUCUCCUCUCCCACUCGCUGCGUCGUUCCCCCUAUGCACAGUUGGCCGUGUGCAGGUGUGCCUCUGCCUGUGAGAUGGCGAAAUGGGCAACGACAUAUUCAGCGCUCGCUGGGUUGUCGGCGCGUGCAUGUAUGCGUGAGUGCGUCUUUUUGGGGCCCUCUUGCUCUCCUUUAUGAUCAAGUGUCGCGCUGUUUGUUGCUGUUUCUCCUCCUCCACUCUCUGAAUCAAAGCUGGACGAUCACUUUCCCUGUGUUGUGCUUUUCUACCUUCCCAUCACCUCGUGAGAGCUUCGGCUGCAGCUCACCCUCACUCUCUCGUCUUCCCUCCUUUCUCACAAUCAGCCUCGCAACUUUUCCCUUUUCUCCGUGGUUUGGUUUUCGUCCCUCUCUCUUUUCCUCUUUACACAAACUCGUAAAAUAAACCCAGAAAAAAAACUGUGCAGAAUCGUGUGUGUGUGUGUGUGUGCAUGUGUAUGUGCGUCCCUGUGUUUGUGUGUGUGGUUGCCAUACCGUUGUUUGCUCUUUUUUUUCCGCUGGCUUCAUUCUUGCUUCCCCUCCUUUGUGUGUGUGUGUGUGUGUGCGUGUGUCUGCGUGCGUGUUUGUGGCUCUUUUCGUUUUCAUUUUCUCUGUCCUCCUGCUGGGACAACAGAAGUCUGAGAGUCAUACACACUGGCGUGGCGCGCACGUACGCAGAGGCCCCGCCCCACCCCGCCCACCUGCCCCUCACUAACCCGCUCAGCGGGCUUGCAUCAACGAAAGUGGGGGAGAACGCUGGAAGUGGAGGCACAUUGAUUUUUUUGUCCUCCUCAUCUUCCUCGCUUCCCUCUUUUGUUUCUCGUUUUCUGCUUUUUUUGCGUUCUUUCUUUGCGUUUUGUUGCUCCCCAUCACCAUGUGCCGCUUUCUUGGUUGCCUUGUGUUCGCUUCUCUUUGCUGUUUGUGUUGUCGGAGUCGUUGGCGUGUUUCACACAGGCACAGCGAAAUGCUCCUUUGUUGUUGUUGUUCGUCGUUGUUGUUUGCUUGUUUUGUUUGCGCGUAACAAUGCAGGAAGCACCCUUGCUCAUGACCGCAUAUAAUGUUAUCUUUCCGUUGCCUGUCUCUUCUUCUACCCCUUUUGCGUGUGUGAGUGUGUGCGUGUGUGUGUUGUUUUCGCUGGUCAUUUUCUUCUUUGUUGUUGUUGGUCUUCCUCUUGUUUGGUUUUCUCUCUUUCCUUCGUGGUCUAACACGCAUUGCAGUAUGGGCUCUGUCGUCGUUGUUGUUUUGCUGACAUGUGCGCGACGGUGGCACGCUUGUGUUUUCCGUUGUUCGUGUAUGCCUUCCACAUCUCUCUCCCUCUAUAUAUAUAUAUAUAUGUCUCUCUCCCUUACUCUUUCGCUCGCACCUUUUCACUUGCCUUGUCAGCUCCUCUGGUUCGUUUUUUGUUUGUUUUCUUGCUUUGCUGUCGUCUUCUUUUCUAUUUAUUAUUGUUUGGUUUGCUUGUUUUCGCCCCGUUUCAUUUUUGUGUCUCUCUCCCCUUUCCCCCCCCUCCCCCUUUAUGGUUUGUUUUUCACUGACUUCGGCUUCACUUUGCUGUCGAUAGAUACAAAGAGAGCAACGAAAAAAAAAACCAGUAAAGUGCACUGUACCUCUACUUGCCUGGUGUGUGUGUGUGUGUAUUCCUCUGUUUGUUUUGUUCCUCGACCCUCUUCUUUUCCUUUGUUGUUGCUGUCUCCUGUUACCGUGCUUUCCACGUCGUUGCCGUUGGUGUGUGUGUGUGUGUCUUUUUCUUUAUGCUUUGUUCCCCUUUUGUGUUUUGAUUGUUUUUCCCCUCUCCUGUGAACUAGUUUCAGGUGCGUCUCAGUUGCGCCUGUGUGUGCAUGGGUGUGCGCGUGAUGUGGAUGUAAACCAUCACCCACUCCCCUUUCCAGGUGGUCGCAUCACUGUCAUUCAUGCUUUUUUUUUCUUUUCCAUCGUUUGUGUGUUCCUUUACUGGUUUUCCCCCUUUGCCGAGCACCUUUACCCACUCGUCUCUUGCGGAAGCUGCUUGCCUUCUCUGUCUGUGUCUCCGCGUGGUCUAUAGGUAUUCUGAUGUCGCUCAUCCGUUGCCUUUCCUUCCAGCGUUCUUUGUAUACCGCUGCUCUUUGUUUUUUUUUGCUUUGCUGUGUUGGCCCCUCAUGUUUGUGGUUGCCGUCUCUGUCGUUGUUCUUUUAAGUCGUUUCUCUUCAUCUUGUUUUUUGUUUUUGUUUUCUCUCCGUCUUCCGCUAUCGCCGCGUGUGUAAUGUGUUUCUUCGUCGCCGCUUUACUAGUACGACCCUAGCGUUCUUACUCGCGAGAGCGCUCCUCAUACAUGGAGAGAGACGCGGAGUAUCAUCCCGCACACGCAUGAGGUCUGUCCCGACAAGACCAAAAGGGCUCGUCUUAAAGAUCCCCACAGAUGCGCAUCAUGCGUGCAGAAGCAUGCCUACGCACACACACGCACAAAUACAAUGCGCGAACAGAAGAAUGCAGGCGUGACCUCACAGAAAGAGGUGAAGGUACGAGUAUAUGAAGUACGUCGCACUCUGAAGUGCACGAGGCUUGAUGUCGCCACAGUGUCUCUUGUCUUGACUCCUUUCCCUCUCUCCGCCGCGCACGCGAUAGAUUUCUAUUACUUGAUCACACGCUUCGUUUUCGCGUUAUCUACUCCCUUGUCGGUUUCGUUGAACCUGUCGUUUGUCUUCAUGCUGUUUCGCUUGCUGGCUUCUCUCUUUUCUGUCUUCGCUUAUUCUUCUCUAAGAUACAUCUACACGAUGGUGCUCAGCUCGUGCUCCUCUUCCGUUUUCUUGUCUGUAUGCCUCUUCUCUAUUUUUUUUGCUUUGUUUGCUUGUUUCUUGUAUUUGUUUCGGCGCAUCUUCUCCCCGUUGUUGCGUUCAUUGCAUUUUGUGUCUUCUCUCUCCUUCUGUCUACUUCUUCGCCCUCCUCCUCCCCACCCACCACCCCACCGGGCCCCUCACGUUUUCACUUCUCCCCGCUCUUUUUUCUUUUCUCCCACCCACCUAUCUCUUGCUCCUCUUCCCUCCUUUCCCACUUAAAGCUGAGUCUUCUUUACGUGUGCGUGCAUUGCGCGUACUUGUGCUUGUUUAUUUGUUUUAUUAUCUCAGCGGGAAGGGAGUGUCGGUGUGUAAGUCCUUUUCGUUGCGUGGCGACGGCGCUGUCGUCACAGCCAUCGGCACCAACUCCACAUGUGCACGUUAGGAGCGUCUUUGUGGGCUUUUUGUGUGCAUGUAUAUGUGUGCCGCCCGAGAGUCGAUGCACCAGCUCACACUCCGGCUCCUCUCCCUCCCUCCCGGCGCGCCGUCUUCCGUCGUUUUUCUCCUUUCAGUGGUUGCUGUUGUUAACGUUUUGCCGUUGUCGCUAGACAAGAGUGCGUCAACAAGAUGUUGUCACCGCUUUACUUUUUUGACAAAGAGACACAGCGAGGUAAGAUAAAAGGGCGCGGACAACGCAAAACUCGGUAUACGGAUAAGCAGCACACGGCUACCUUCCCCCUUUUGUUUCAUCUCAGCGCCUCCUGCCAACACGCUCACUCACACGGAAUCAGCCACAUAAUCCUCCGAAAAACGGAUCAGGGAGCAAAGAACAAAAAAGGCAGUAAAAGUGGAAAGCGGAUCCCUCUCCUUCUUUCCGGUAGAGGAGGGCGAGAGGAACCGCGGCUGCGGAAGCGGAGCAAGAGAGCCGGAAGGGCAGGAGGGAGAGAUUGGGCGAGGAAAAACAGCAUGAGCUGGAAGCGGGGGGGGGGCGAUGAGAACGCUUUUUAUUCACCCAGCCCAACCCCGCUGACCCCGCCCUUGCUCCCCCCCUCCAUUCUCCUGGCUUGCACCUACUUUCCAUAAAACUACUACUAGCGAUUGCCUGACCGCCACUAGAAGCUCAUAUUACCUACCCCCUGUCUUAUGUCGAAUCUCUUGUUUGUCUUGUUUGAGUUGUCCCAGGGCCACCACCACUAUCACCACCACCCCAUCACUGCCGCCACCAACCCCACGCAUCUUGGAAAAGCCAGGGGAGCAAUGUGGCAUCGAGUGCUGUUGGAAAUGCGGUUUCACGUGUUUUUUUCUUUCUCAGAGCGUAUGCGUGCGUGUGAGUGUGUGUGUGUGCGUGUGUCCGGGUGCAUAUUUUUUUCCUUUUUUAAACUGCGUACUUCGUUCUCUUCUUUCCUCUUCCCUUUCCGUUUUCGAGUGUUCGACUCCCUCUCCUCUCUCUCCCGUUUCUAGUACUGAAGCCCGUGUCUACUGCAUUUUGCUUUCCUCGCUCUCUUUUUCUUUAGCGGCAAGGCACGUAUGUGCACACGUGCGGAUGUCAGCGGUGUACACAAGAAGGAAAGGGCGAGGUGUGUCUUCUGCCUUUCUUCCCUCUUCCUUACCCCUCCCCCUUUCCUUAGUCACCGCUGCUCUCGAUGUUGAUUAGAGGGAUCCCUCCUUCCUUGACAAGCCCACGUACGCGCACGCCUGCGUCCUUUUUUUUUUCUCCUCACUUGUGUCCCUCAAAGCUCCCGGGUUGGUCUGCCUCCUCGCCUUUCCCACACCUUGUGUGAGUCUUUUUCUUCGCCGGCGUUGCCGAGUUGUCUGCGUUUCUCUUUUCCUUCUCUCAGUUACCACUGAAGCCACGCAUUCAUCAUGGCUGCCGUUACGCGGACGGAGCUUAGCACCGCGAAGCACCUCUUGCUCUUGCUCUUCCCCAUUGUGCGGACAAUAGCAGGGAGAGCGGAAGGAGAGACCGGGAACGCGAGCGUGUGUGUGUGUGUGUGCGCGCGCCAGCAGUAAACAAAUUCGAAAUAGACACGAAGAGAUCCCCUCCCUCUCCCAACACUCACACAAAAAAAGCACCAGCAAAUAGUCGAAGCAAAGACCAGGUCAAUCGAAUUGCUUCUUCCUCGUCGUGUGAGGGAGGCUUUUCUUUAUGUGCGUGGUUUGCGUGCUAUUGAAGUGCUGCACUUUCAGGUGGAAGUGCCGUACUCCGCGUCUGUCUAUCCACGCGGAGAGCGGGCAAAAAAAAAAACGAAAGACACAUGCAUGUACUCGGUGCUCUGGAAAUAGCAGCAAAUGGAAAGAAGGGUGCGGAGGCCUUUGUGAAGCUGGUGAAGGGGAACAACACGGCAGAAGUAGUGGAGCCGAUAGAAAGAAGAGAUGAAAAGCGCCUUGGGCACUUGUCGCUGCACGUAAAGUGAAGCACACAGAGAAGGUGUCAGCGUCAACGAUAUUAUCAGUGCAUUCACACCCUUCCCUCUCCUCACGGUCUCCAUGAUGUUCCUGGCAGUUCCCGCUAAGGCCCCUCUGCCUCCCCACCACCCACCCGCCCCACUUCGAUACUCUUCCCGGUGCUGACUCUUCGUGGACGGGGAGGGGGUCGUCUUUUGCUGUUGCUGUUCCUGCGUCCUGCGUCUCCGUCUCCUGUGUGUGUGUGUGUGUGUGUGUUUUCCUCUAGUUCCCACAUCUCUCAGUCUCUUCUUUUUUCAUUUCCAUCUUGCACCUUUUAUGUUCUCUCUCUUUUUUCCUUGUGAAGGAAAACACCGCCUGUAUUCGUGUAUGUGCGUGUGCGUGUGCAUGUGUGUGUACGUGCAACUGUAUCCUGUGUUAGUAUUCAGGUGCCGAGCUCUUUGCCUGUCCUGCCUUGCCUAUGUCGCUCUACUCGUUUGCGUGUAUGUGUGUGUAUCUGUGCCUGUUGUGUUAUCUUUGUGUGUGUGUGUGUCCCCCACCCCUCUCCCUCUCGCUCCCCCUCCCCCACCCCUGCCACUGCACCCCACCCCACUCUUUAUUUUUCCUUCCUGAUCUUUUUUGUUUGGUUUUGCCAAAUCUCUCUCUUUCGCCCUUCUCUUUUCGUUGUCGUGGUUUGUUUGUGCUUUUCUGUAUAGAUCCCCUCUCCGAUGCUUUCCCCUCUUUUUUCUUUUUGUUUUGCGCCCUGUAUCCCUUAUUUCUUUUUUUUUCUCCGUUUGUCUCUCCCCGGAUGCGUCUUUGGGGAGUCCUGUAUCAUUGCAACCGUUUCUUGCAGUGUGCUCGUUUUCCUUGUGUGCAGUAUCGGUGUUUAUCCAGCACAAGUCCGCUGUCUUUUUUUUUAUUUCUCUUUUUUUUUCUUUAGUUCGUUUAUCUGUUGAUGAUGUGUGGGUGUUUUGUGCCUAUGUUCGCUUGUGUAUGGGUGUGUAUGUAGGUGUGCCUGUCUCUCUGUCUGUCUCUGUCGCUGGCCCCGCCCGCCCCCCCCCCUCUUCUCCCGCUUAUCCACCUCAUCCCUCACCACCUGUACUUCAAGGUUGUGUCUCCUCACUCCCCCUCUCUAUCCUAUACUAGCAAGGCACCAUCACCCACCAACACCGCCACCGCCCCUACAAAUCAGACGUGCAUGUUUCUGUAUUAUGUGUGCGGCGGCCACUCCCCGUCUCCGUUUUUCUUCUUGAUUGUUUUCCACUUGUCCAUCGAUCAAAUGCGGCCUUCUUGUGGCUGCGGUUUUUGCUUGGCUCUCUCGCCAUUGAGAGAAUACGCGCGCAAGCGUGUGUGUUUGUGUGUGUGUGUGUGUGUGUGUGUGUGUGCAGCAGCUGCAAGAACAAGGAGGAGGAGCAAAGGAAAGGGAAACAAGAGCAUGAACGAAAACGAAGGAGAAGCGCGAACAGAAAAAGGCGCCAGCAAAGCACAUUUCUCUUGCGCCCUUCUUCUUUUUAUCGUUUUUUGUCUUCCCUCUCUCCUCUACCGCCUCGAAGGCGAAGGUUACAUGAAAUUGUACGUCCGUGCGAUGCACUCACACACACACACACACACACACAUUCUGUGCACAAACGCAAGCAUAAGCACUUUACCCUCCUUCAUACCGCAGGUAGCGAUGCGAAGGGGGGGUACGCUGGUGGUCAGUGGAUGUUGCCGAUGUUUGUUUUCUGUUUCUUUUGGCCGCUGUAUUUUUGUUUUCAUAAGUGAAGUCAGAAAAAAAAAUGGAAGAGUCGCAAGUAAACACACAUGGUCCAUGACGCGAUGCCAGCUGGUUCUCUGGAAACCUAAUGCUAAACGUGAAUCUCUUCCCUACCUUUCUGUGUGGAUGUAGAUGCAGACGUAUUUCAACACCCAAAACGAAGCAAGCGACAAAAAGCCGUUUGUGUGUGUCUCCCCCACCUCUUUUUUUUUUCACCUUCCUCUUGCUCUUUCUUCUUUUUUUAUGGUUCAUGCAAGUUCAUUGCUCGUUACCGCGUACAUGUCGACUGUCUUGUCCAUCUCGCUCUCUGUUUAUGGCGUUAUAUGUAAGCGAGUGCUUACUCUUUCUCCGGUGUUUUCCCCCUUUGUUUUCGUCCCUCAUCAACUCUGUGUGUGUGUGUGUGAUCGGCUUUAACAAUCUCAUCUGCACUUUUUUGUCACACUUGUGUGUUUUUUUUUUGUGUGUGUCUUUCUCAUCAACCCUCUUACGAGUGGAUUGCAACCUCGGAGUCCUCGGCGUGUUUUCGAUUUCGCUGUUUUAGCGUUUCGGUGCGUGGGUCUGCAGCUUGCGCGUUCUUAUCUGUGGUCUUCUCAUCGACGCACAGGAGCUCAGGCAGACACACAUGCGCGAAGAGGCAUCAUCCUUUUCGCUUCAUCCCUCCUCACUUCCUCUUCUUCCUUCUAUUUCUUUUGUUGCUGUUUUUCGUUUCACCUGCAACAAACAAGCGCCAACAACAUGGAACACAGACGCGCAGAUGCGCCUACACCAGUAAGGAGGAGUAGUGAUGCGCUUCUUUUUGGUUUUUUUCUUGAAGAGGAAGAACAGGAAGAUCUCCGCUAAGCACACGGCCUGAUUCGAAGUCAGACGUCUCGUCCUAGACGACGAGGUUUUAGCCGUAGCGCGAUAGAGGUAGCUGAGCUGUGGAUGUGUGCUUCUGUUUGUUGACUCGUUCGUGAUACAAUGGCACGUUGACGGGAAAAAAGGGAGAAGGAAAGGGAUGUGAAGAAACCUCUGACCAGAUCCCCCUCCCCCUCUUCUGAAUACGUUUGGUUUUUCGCUUUUACGUGUGCUCUUUGCUCUUGUAUUUAUAUAUAUAUAUAUACAUGUAUGUAUCUGUGUGCGCCGAUAAGGAAGCAAAAAAAAAAGCCGGCGCAUAGGGGUUCGUGUGCACGAUUUUGCGCUCUGUGCUGUGUGCCGUGUAAUUUGCCAUGCACGAAUCGAGACAAAACAAACCUCUUUUUUCUUGUUUUUUCUUCCCUCAACCUCCCUCCUUCUCCCCCCUCAAACCUUCAUCACAACACUAAAAAAAAAAGAGAAAGAGAUGUGGAGACCACCAAGAGCGGCAAGGCUUUUUCCCCUUUCGCGUGUUUGAUUACUCUUUUCUUUGUUUUUUUUUUCGGCUCCCUUCCUCUCUCGCAGUCUCUCUCUCUCUCUCUCUAUCACUCAUCACCGCUCUGCUUCACUUCUGUGUGUGCGUAUGUGUGUCCGUGGCUUUCCUUCGCUGUCGAUGUCGGGCUACGCCUCAUUAUGAGAGAGGAUACUGACUAGUCUUCGCCUCUCACUUUCUCUGCCUUGUUUUCUCCCCACGAACUUCAUGGCGUCGUCGUGUCCGCAGAGACGUCCGCAGUUUGCUGCCUUUUCUCUUUCCUUUUUUCUCUUUAGUUACUCGCUGCCUUUGAGCACAUCUGUCUGCCUCCAAGCCGCAUCCAUUUUUGUGUGUGUUUGUGUGUUAUGUGGUGUGUGUGUGUGUGUGCAUGUGCUUGCAUGAUGCGCAUUGGUCUGCAAAGAACAGCUGAAUUCACUGUUAGCGUGCCGAGAAGCGAGUGUAUCUAGAGCUUCUAUUCCUGCCUUUGGCUC
rnacentral:misc_RNA from 1 species